AGUAAUGCUGAUUGUAUGAAAUAGACUCACAUCAAAACGAGUUGAAACUCUGGCAAUCUGGUUGUUAUUUGGAUCUCCAGCAGGAUUUCAUUUAUGGCGAUUCUAAAAAUAUUUGUCCUUGCUGUGGCCUUAAAAGGUUUAACUGAAGCAGCUGGGAUUUUACCAGAUGGUCCUUUGAAUGGAUCUGUUGGAGGAUCAGUGAUGUUCACAACACUUCUGACUGAAGCAGAUGGACCAUUUGCUGCAGUGAGCUGGAGUUUUGAUGGCAGGGAUAUAAUAAUACAGCACACCGCAACUAAUAAUUCAACUACCCCAGCCUAUGAAGGCAGGAUCACAUUUUUUCCAUCUACAGCAUCUCUGGAGCUCAGAGAUCUGACCCUGGAUGAUGGAGGAGACUAUAAUGUUAAUGUUUUUGGUAGUGGAACAGAAACAACCAAACUGGACGUAUACGUUCCAGUCUUCUCUGUAACAGUAUCUCCUCAGAGUGCAGACUUGGUUGAGUUCAGCUCUUUCAGUCUGACCUGCUCCUCCUCUGGUUCCUCGCUGUCCUUCAUCUGGAUGAA